UGAGAAUCGAUGCAUUAUUGAUUGCAUUUAUGCUGUUAUAUCGUUAUUUUGGCCCGUUCGCUCCACAUUUAGUGUUCGUUCCACAUUUAAUAUACGUAGCGUCAAAGUAACACCGUAAGGAAGGGGGCAGCAUCUCCAACAUUGUGAUUGAAAACACCAAAAAAGAAGAUAUUCAGAUCAGGAAGACAGCCUCUGGUUGGUCGACACACUCACCUGACAACAUUCCGGGAGUCAAGAUGGCUGGAGCCAGUAAACAGUGGAUUUAUGGUUCCUGAAUUAUUGUUCAAAGUCUCAGAAAAGACACUGCAGUUUCAGACUGGAUUAGAAAGCUUCUGGAAGGCCUAGUGGGAGACCUCCCUGGAAAGGGCCAGAUUCUAGCUAUCGUGACACUGCAAUUCCAUGAUGUAUUAAGAAGCUUCUGGAUGGCCUACAAUCGCAUGGAAGACCUCGUUGAAACGGCACGUUGUUCUGCUUCUAAACAA